GUACAAUUACCAGUCAAAAGUCCAAGAUUGAAUAUGAUCAUUGUUCGUUUACUGUAGUUGUUCUUCUUCUCUUGUUCGUACACGAAGCUGUUCAAAGAUUCCUCUCCAAAAUACCGGUACAAUUACCAAGCAAUCGUGGGUUUCUUCAUAUUCUGUAGCAGUUUCUCUAUCAAAUUCAAGAUCCAAGAUUCAACUCUGGUUUACUCUGACUCAAGUUUGCCACUCAGUUCCUGUUCGUCUCGAUGAAACCAAUUACCCAACUUGGUUAUAUUUGAUGCAACAUCAUAUUAGAGGGCAUGGUUUACUCAAAUUCAAUCUCAGCUGAAGCACUUAGCACUUACUCUAGUGAUUGGAUGCCAAACUUCAAUGGAGGUAUGGACCACUCUCAAACAACAUUAUGCAGAAAAUUCGAAAUUUCACAUUUUGCGAUUGAAGUCUACUCUCUACUCUGCAAAAUAUCUGAAAAGGAUCAGAUUCUAUAGACGAGUAUUUAUUGCACUUCAAAACUGUUAGAGAUCAUUUAGUUGUGGUUGGUGUUUGAAUAUCAUAUCAAGAUGUUAAGAGUUUGAUUCUAGCUGGGCUUCCUAGUGAGUAUGGCCACACUAGGCAAAUUAUUAGAGGCAAGAGCCAUUUAGAUUUGGAAGAAGUGAGAGCAUUGUUAUUGGCAGCUGAAACUGAGAUCGAACUAGAGAAUAAAUCUGCACCAUUAGCUCCAUUAGCUGCAAUGAUGGCACAAAAUGGAAUGAUGCAUAACUCUCAGUAUGGAAUGUCCUCUGGUUUGGUGUCACCUCCUGGUUUUGGUCAGCCACAUGGUGCAUUCACAUCACCCUAAUGUGAAUAAUUGUGCUAUGUCAAAUGGUGUAUCUAACCAUGAAUCAUCUGGAAUAUCUACCAUGCAUCACUGUGUUGCGGUAUAUUGCAUCUCCGACAACCGCACCACAGUUUGGUUAUGUGGCUCCACAGAAUACUAUGAUACCAAGUACUGGUUUUGUUGCUCCUUCAAAUGGAGGUUUCAUGCCUAAUUCAAGUGUUGGUACUUCUUCUGUACCCAACAAUGCAUCUGUGAUAAGUAACACAAUAGGUAGUGAAGGGAUUUUUAGCUCAGUGCUAUCACAGUAUCAUUAUCCUUACUGGUUAUGUUGCUCAAAAUGAUUCUAGCACCUCAUAUGUUCAACAGUCCAAUCUUAAUCACAACGGAGCACAACAAUAUGGAUACUUCUCUCAACAAAAUGUGCAACCUGGUACAUUCAACAACAGCUCUCAGCAGAAUCAACAGCAAAAUAAUGGCCUAUCUCGGAAGGGGAAAUUUUCUUUACAGUUCUAAUCCCAAUCAUCAUGCUAAUUUUGGAGGUCGUAAUGGUUUUGGACCUUCAAAUCUUUUCAACAGUUACCUUGAAGCUUGUCAAUUCUACUACAAGUCUACAAUUCGGGUCACACUGCUCAAAUUUGCUCUCGGCAAUCUUCUCCUAGGCAGGUUUGUGCUUCUGGAUCGUCUAUGCAAUGUCAGAUUUUCUUUGAAAUGGGUCACAGUGCAAUCAAAUGUUUGCGUAGGCAUCACUAUGGUAUUCAACCACCAACUUGUGCAGCACCUAAAGCUUUGUCAGCUACCAUCCCCACUCAACCAAAGCCACCCUCCAUUGCUACUCAACCAAAUAACAAUGCUUUUCAAUCGCAAGUCAAGCCUCUGCCAUUUGUACAUGCAUCUCCAUUAUCAGUUCCUACUCACCCUCAUUUGCAGCAAGCUCUUCUCAAGAAAAUUGAAGCGUUGCCGACACCAGGCACAUGCCUAUUUCCUUCUACUCCGGACAAAAAUAUGAUGAAUUGUAGGCAGGCCUCGGCCUAUGGAGCUAUGGGGAUCACUUUCCCUCAUUUCCUAGUUGGAAUAUGCAUUCUCACCUGCAAUCUGAUGUUCGUAUCACUCCCAUCAGCUUGAGGUGGGGAUGUUAGGAUUGAUGUAAUGCUACUAUCCUCUAUUCUGGUCCUAUAGUUUGGUGUAGUGGUCCUAUCCUGCAUCUUAGGCUCUUAGCACGGUGAAUCUUUGCUCUUAAGAGUUGGUUAAGAGGGUUUAGCUGUAGUAUUAGUAUAAAACCAUGUUUUCCUCUUUGAUACCCUCAUGUUUUCCUCUUUGAUAUGUAAGCAAGCCUUGUACGAAAAACCAUUACAGACAAAUACAGUAGUCUUCCUUUCUUCA